GCCUGGGUGGCUCAGUCGGUUGAGCGUCCGACUUCAGCUCAGGUCAUGAUCUCACAGUUUGUGGGUUUGAGCCCCACAUCGGGCU
rnacentral:tRNA from 1 species